rnacentral:rRNA from 1 species
AUUGAACGCUGGCGGCAGGCCUAACACAUGCAAGUCGAGCGAGCGGCGGACGGGUGAGUAAUGCCUGGGAAACUGCCUGAUGGAGGGGGAUAACUACUGGAAACGGUAGCUAAUACCGCAUACCAUCAGAUGUGCCCAGUUGGGAUUAUCUUGUAGGUUGGGUAACGGCUCACCUGGGCGACGAUCCCUAGCUGGUCUGAGAGGACGACCAGACAGACUGGAACUGAGGCACGGUCCAGACGCCGACGGGAGUCAGCAGUGGUGAAUAUUGCACAAUGGGCGCAAGCCUGAUGCAGCCAUGGCGCGUGUGUGAAGAAGGCCUUCAGGUUGUAAAGCACUUUCAGCGGGGAGGCGUUACCCGCAGAAGAAGCACCGGCUAACUCCGUGCCAGCCGCCGCGGUAAUAC